rnacentral:rRNA from 1 species
UACGAAGGGGGCUAGCGUUGCUCGGAAUCACUGGGCGUAAAGCGCACGUAGGCGGCUUCUUAAGUCAGGGGUGAAAUCCUGGAGCUCAACUCCAGAACUGCCUUUGAUACUGAGGAGCUCGAGUCCGGGAGAGGUGAGUGGAACUGCGAGUGUAGAGGUGAAAUUCGUAGAUAUUCGCAAGAACACCAGUGGCGAAGGCGGCUCACUGGCCCGAUACUGACGCUGAGGCACGAAAGCGUGGGGAGCAAACAGG